GAGUUAAUUCUCGUUGGUGACCAGCGGAGGGAUCAUUACAGAGUUAUACAACUCCCAUACCAUCUGUUAACCUACCCAGUUAUGCCUCGGCGUAAGCUCGGUUGGAGGCACCUGCAGCUACCCUGUAGUUGCGGACUGCCAACUCCAGCCGCGGCCCGCCGGCGGUACACUAAACUCUGUUUUAUUUUAUAUUCUGAGCGUCUUAUUUUAAUAAGUUAAAACUUUCAACAACGGAUCUCUUGGUUCUGGCAUCGAUGAAGAACGCAGCGAAAUGCGAUAAGUAAUGUGAAUUGCAGAAUUCAGUGAAUCAUCAAAUCUUUGAACGCACAUUGCGCCCAUCAGUAUUCUGGUGGGCAUGCCUGUUCGAGCGUCAUUUCAACCCUUAAGCCUAGCUUAGUGUUGGGAAUCUGCUGUACUGCAGUUCCUUAAAGACAGUGGCGGAGCGGCGGUAGUCCUCUGAGCGUAGUAAUUUAUUUCUCGCUUUUGUCAGGCUCUGUCCUCCCGCCAUAAAACCCCCAAUUUUUUAGUGGUUGACCUCGGAUCAGGUAGGAAUACCCGCUGAACUUAAGCAUAUCAA
rnacentral:rRNA from 1 species